CUCAGGAGCUCCAUAUAAGCUCAGCCCUGAGUCUUUAGUUUUCUCUUGAGCUCUGGUGUUGGUGAGCCUGUCUCCAGUCCUGCUUAUGGUCCUGCUUCCAGGAUAGACUUCAGGCCUGUGUGACAGAUCAUGUUUACUGCUGCGGGCGACGUGGAGCCAGGCUCCUUCCACUGGCUGAAGCAACCCCGUGGUUCCCCUGUCGAGGACCACGCAGCUGUCCCGAACAACCCUAUUUCUGCACAUCAGUGCUCCAGAUCUCCGCCUGUUGCAAACAUUGUGCCUCCCCCAGCAGAGGACUCCUGCAGUGCUUCCAGCUCUUUGAGAACAACUGGAUGUCUUCACGCCCAUGGGGAGCGGGGCCUUGGUCUUGGCAUGCGUCUGUCCCAUCUGCCCAGUGAGCUGCUCUAUUGCAAAGCUGAGCACCCCAGCCAUGCUGCGCAGGCAAGCCGAAAUGACACCAUCCAAAUGAAACCUAUUUGAUAAUGUCCUUGCUGAAAACAUCAAUGAAAUCAAUCUCUCCCCUCCAAACAAUUAGGUGGAGUUGAAUCACCAGUUUCUGAAUGAAUAGACUUGUUUGAACAUGUUUUUCAACCAGCUCAGAGUAUUGUUGCUACAAAGGCAAAAAGCGAACAAAAAAGGGCUCCUUCCAGCCCAGGUGGGGCCAGCACUGGGGCCCACCAAGGUGUCCAAGAGCAGCUCAAUCCCAUUCCACCCAGCAGCAUCUCCGCUGCGCUGCUGAGCAUGCACCUUUGGGCUCAAAAUUAAGAGAAUUCUAUGUUCUUGGGAGAAAUUAUUAUUACCCCUGGAUUCCAAGAGCAAUCCUUUAUUUUGAAACCUACCUCCUAAUUCAUUUUAUAUUUACCCAUAAAAUCUUGGCCAGGGUUUCUGAGAGUUGCGGUCUUUUGGAAAGGCCAAGUUUUAAAUGGAGCUGACUCAGCAGAAGCUAGCUUGAUUGAAGCGGUGCUUGAGUUAAUACCACCCCUAGGCAGUGUUGGAAACAAAGCAGCAGAAACUGGGCUCUCCCCUGGUUUUGUUUUCUCCACAGGCAGCAAACCUUGCUGACCUGCAGGGCUGGGCUGCUGGGGGAGAGCAGAUGGGAGCUGGCAGACUGGCUGCUGUGUAUCCCAUAUUCUGUUCACUUAAAGUUUAGCAUAGCUGAGAUAAACAUUAAGAAAAAAAGGAAGAAAUAAUGAAAAAAAAGUAUUGAAAACCCUGGAAGUGAUUAAUUUUCAGCCUCACUGCCCAACAUCAGUCUCAAGGAGGGGGCUGGGGAUGCAACUCAUACUUAGCUUAUUAAAAUAUCACUCUGGUUCUCCCUGGAAUGCUCUGGGACAGGCAAGCCCUGCCUGGGGGAAGAUAGUCCCAGCUCCCUCACACAACACAAUGGGACCAUACCAGGGCUUGGACUAAUUCUAACAUAGCCUGUAGUGUUAAGUCUGCUUCUGCCUUUCUUUUCCCACAUUGUGGUUGCCUCGGUUGUGCCUGGGGUCCAGCCUGGCUUCUGGACACCACCGCAGCAUGUCUUGGUAGUUCGUGUUCAUGGGGCAGUGCUGUCCCAAGCAGCUCUUGCUUGGGAGAUGUGUCUCCUCCACAGUGCUAGAGCCUGGCCCUUGUCCUCAGGCUCUCCUACUCAUCAAAGACCUGGAGCUGGAAGGAGGAAAUGGGUCACAGCAGAUGGCUGAGCUGCCAAUGUAGCACUGGGGAUUGCAGUAGGAUCCUGUCUCAUGUGGACCAAGUUUCCUUUACUUCAAGGAAAAAAUGAAUUUAGGCUCCAGGGAAAAACAGAAGCAUGCUGAAAGUUGACCAUCCUCUCAUACAUUGGAAAGUGUCUGCUUCUGAUGGCCUCGCUGCUAUGAGCAUUUGAGUGACAGCCAGGCUAUGAAAUGCAGCCAAGGCUUUUUGAAUUGACAGCUCAUUCCAUGUACAAGCAAAGCCUGAAAGACAGUCCAGAGCUGCUUAGCAAGAGCAGGCUAAUAGCUAAGUAUACAGCAAAAACCUAGUGGGAACACCAGUAUCUCCUAAAUCCAGCUUCAUUCAGAAAGCCAAGAAUAUAGAAGUGAGUCAAUUUGUGUCCGAUGGCCAUAAUGAACAUGUCAGUUGAGAUGCUCAGAAGGAAUAAUACCAUAAAUUGGCAAGGUGGGAGCUGCAUUCAUCAGCUCAAACAAGAGCUGGUCAUCCAUAAUCCAGCAGUAUCCAAGACCAAUGCUUCAGCUCCAGUGUUAUUUCCACCCUAAAGUAUGGGUGGGAAUGCUUGAAAUUUGCCAGCAACCCCAACAGAAAUGUCACCGCUGCCAAGAGCCAAUGCUGGAUGGCGAUCCAGGGCUGUGAAAUGCAAUUAAUUAAUUAUAGCAAAUGCUGAGAAUCAUCAGUUGAAUCAUGGACAUUCAGAGCUCCACAACCUCCAAGUCCUCUGGAGAAGGCAGUGAGUGUGUGCCUGGGACAUGCAUCAGUAAUGAUGCUCAAUGACCCGUUGAAGUUGGGCAGCCCCAAACCUGCAUUUUGGACACGCUACACUAGAGCUCGAGGUGACGAGCAGCUUGUGCUGGGCAGCAAUUUGGGGCCAGCUUUGGCACAGGCGUGGUGCCCGUUGGGUUUGUGCUGCAGGGGCAACACAUAGGGCUCCGCUGCCUUCUCCUCCAUGCGUGGGGUUUGUCUCCAACCCGCUGGCAUGAGCAUAAAACAAGAAGGCAACUUGCCAGCUCCCGUCCUUCCCUUGGGAGCCACAAAGGAGGGUGGAAAGCAUGCAAGUGCAUUCCCACCUGCUUGCAAGAGCACCCCAUCAGCCACAUCUGUCAUUGCCGACGGGGGUUCACCACCACUGUGCUAAUCCCCACAAGAGAUUGUACGCUAUUGUCUUUGCCCUGCUGCUCAUGCCACCGCUGCUGUAUUUAUCAGGGAGCCAUUUGUGCAAGGAGGUAACUUUCCUCCAGGGUCAUGUCCUGCCUUCCCCUGCGCAAAAUGCCGGGACUCCUGGUUGCCAGAGGGGUCUGAUACCCACCCUGGGGGAAGCGCUGGGUGCAGAGGGGGUUUGCUUGUCCCAGGGUGGUCCACAGUGCAAUGGACACAGGGACAGAAGCAGUGCAUCCCCAGAGAGGACCUGCUUUUUAUUUAUUAUUUUCUUGUUCCCCUUUGUAGUGGAAAUGGGGUGAUUUGAACCCCAUGGGCCUCUGAGAGUUGCGCAGCAUUAUUCACGUAGCAGCUAAUGGAGCUCACUCAAUCCAUAAAGAUUUUAAGUCAGAGGUUUGAUGUUAAUUAUGGACCAAAACAUUUAAUAGCCUGUUACACUUCCGUGAGGCGUUUUUUUAAUUAAAAAAUGAUCUAUUGCACAAAAGGGGGAAAAAAGGGAGAGGAAUAAUUGAAGAUUGUUUUAUUCCAGAACGACC